AGGACAUGGGGACGCAGGGAUGUGGAGAAGCAGAGUGCAGCGCUGGGGCUGCUCUGCCAGGGGUGCAGAUGGAGGGCAGGAACCCGUGUGUGCUGGGGAAUGAGGUCUGGAAUGCGUGUUCGGUGCAUGCAACACAUGUUCAAUGUCUGCAGUACGUGCUCCAGGGCCUCUGAGCACGGAGAAGAUGCUCCGAGCGAUGAGCUGCAUCCGUGGGGCUGAGCCCAGCGUCGACGCCAACAGCUCCUGCAGCAUCCCGGCUCCCACAGCGGCAGAUGUGGGGCUCGCUUCCCCUCCACGCUCAUCCCAUGGGAUGAAGCUGCCGCCCCUCGGGAGCGGGCUGGCUGGAGCCUCCCUCCGCUCGCUCUAUGUAUAGCAGAGCGGGGGCGAGCGCGUGUGAUGCCGCGCACACGGUGAUUAACUGCAGAGUCAUUUACAAAGAGCUUCCUCAGCUCCCUGCCCGGGGCUGCUCCGGCACGUGAGGGCCGUUCCGAGCCCUGCGGCAUUCCAGAGCUGC